CUGGUGACGUCAUCAAAAUGUUCGGAACUCUCGAAUCCAACGCACUGAGGUCUCCAUGUUCCACGUCACGGCUUCAUGGGUUCUUGCCCGUAAUAGCGAGAAACCCUUUUGGCCAACAAAGGGGCCGGUUUCCUAUAAUUUCUCGCAAAUUUAAGUACCACCAUCGCGAUCAUCAUCACAAGAGCUCGCCCGACCAUCUUUUCCCGUCUGUCAGCCAUGUUUUUUGAGUCCAAUACGCCGUAUCGGACAAAGUAUAUACCAACUUAAGUCAGUAGAUCUAGAUUUAAGUCAAGUUUAGGAGAGUAUUGUUACCAAACAAAGAGCGACCAA